UUACAAUGUGUUUACUUACUUAUAUAUUCUUCAAAUUAUUUUGAAACAGAUUUACAGAAUCUAUAUAUGAAUUUAUCCCGAUGCCGGCCUCUAAAGAUAUUUUUUUGGAUUUUCAUAAAGGAAAGAAUGAGAUCCGAUGAAAGGACUGGGGAAGUGGCUGUGGAAUGAGGCGAAGUGGGACCCUAAAUCUUUUGCCAGGCCCAAAACAUGACAAAGGAUGUGUGUCCGUGUCCGUGUGCGAGUGUCCCGCUCAAGGUGCGAAUGUGUGAGUGCGUCCGAGUGAAGAGGACGAAACGGAGGCGAUUUGGCAAUGGCCAACGUGUAGCGGAAGGUGUUUAACAAACAGCCCAAAACAAACAAUUGUAAAACAGGCAGAGCGACAACGGCAACAGCAACAGCAACAGCAACAACAAUUGCAGCAGCAACAGCAACUUGCAGCGGCAGCACCAACAACAACAACAUCGAAAAGUGAGGGCGUGGCUGGCAAUGUACGCCCUCCUCGAAGGGUCGCAUUUUAUCAGCGAUAAAAGAUCUGAGC